rnacentral:tRNA from 1 species
GGUGGCUCAGUGGUAGAACGCUUGCUUUGCAUGCAUGAGGCCCUGGGUUCAAUUCCUCAGCACCA